GUGGGGAAUAUUGGACAAUGGGCGCAAGCCUGAUCCAGCCAUGCCGCGUGAGUGAUGAAGGCCUUAGGGUUGUAAAGCUCUUUCAGUGGGGACGAUAAUGACGGUACCCACAGAAGAAGCCCCGGCUAACUUCGUGCCAGCAGCCGCGGUAAUACGAAGGGGGCUAGCGUUGUUCGGAUUUACUGGGCGUAAAGCGCACGUAGGCGGAUCGUUAAGUCGGGGGUAAAAUCCUGGAGCUCAACUCCAGAACUGCCUUCGAUACUGGCGAUCUUGAGUCCGGAAGAGGUGAGUGGAACUCCUAGUGUAGAGGUGGAAUUCGUAGAUAUUAGGAAGAACACCAGUGGCGAAGGCGGCUCACUGGUCCGGUACUGACGCUGAGGUGCGAAAGCGUGGGGAGCAAACAGGAUUAGAAACCCUGGUAGUCC
rnacentral:rRNA from 1 species